UGAACUAGUCUCAAUUCUGGCAAUUAUUCAGCCACAGAAUUGCUGUAUUACUGCAGCUUUAUGAGGAUCUUGGUUGGAAAAGGUGUCAAGAAGGCAGGUAAAGUUUUGGUGUGAUCUCUGGCAGGGGCCCCUGCUCUGUGGGAUGAAUCAGGCAUAGAAUCCCAGAUUGGUUUGGGUUGGAAGGGACCUUAAAGCUCAUCCAGUUGCAACCCCUGCCACAGGCAGGGACACCUUCCACUAGAGCAGGAUGCUCCAAGCACAGGUACUGCUGGCAAUGGAGCUGCACUCCCUGCCUUCUGCCAGGGAUCAAGCCCUGGCUUUACAUCAUGGGAUGCUCCCAGGCUGGAGAUGUUUAUGCGGGAGCUGCUGUAGGAACCACAUAAGUUGCUCUAAACCCUGUUCUCCAUUUCCUUCUGUAUAAGCAGGAGUUAGGUUUUCUCAUCAUCAGCAGCAGCAGCACACUUUGUAUCCUGCCCCUACUGAUUCAUGGCAAUAAGAGACCCUAAGAGCAAUCCUUGUCCAAAGCAAGCAGCGUCCCGGUUAGUGCCAGCACCUUCCAGCACUGCUAUUUGGGCUUUUUCCAUGCUCUUAAUCUUAUAAAUUGAAUCGAGCCUGAUGAUAGAAGUGACUUCCUGGAUAUUGUGUAACAGCUUGUGCUUGUCAGGAUGGGAGACAAACCAACCUGACCUUGAACUCCGGCGUUUCCUCCCAGCAGGUAGGAGCUUCCAACAGCCUGCGCUGAUGCGGGGAUUGCCAGAGGAGGCUCCUGGUCUCCUCAAUGCCCUGGGACAGCAGCGAGGCUUCCAUGGCAAAGGAGCUUUGGAAAAUGCUUUGGAUUCCCCUCUAGGGACUGGAGGAUGCCCUGGAAAGCACUGCGGCAGGAAGGCAGCAGCGUGUUCCCGCUCCAGAAAGGAGGCAGAGAAGGAAUCCCGUCCCUAUCUGGCAUGGUUUAACCUCCUGGGAUUAAUUAAAGGCUUUCUCAGUUUUUCUUUCAAACCUCACAACAUUCAUCUCUCCCUCGCUGAAUAGGGAAAAGCAGAGGCAUCUUCUCUGGUGAAUCACCAGCCUGGUCCAGUGCUCAGUUUUACGUUGCAGUAAUAGCUUUUCCCUAAGGGAAUACCGUAGGAAGGGCAGACUUUGGCUUCUCACCACUGGAGCAUUACAUCAUUAACACGAGCUGGGAAUCUGAGCGGCGGGAGAAACAAAUGUCCCUAAAUCCAGCAAUCCCCCUUCCCUUGGUGCUUCUGUCCCCUCUUCCCUGCCCAUGGGUAGGGCAGGUGAUGGUGGUGGCAGAGCCAGUGUGGGGCAGGGGACCACGUGCAUGGCGAUGUUACAGGAGCAGGGAUGUGUCCUGCAUCCUCUGAGCUGCUGGCAGUGCGAGGACUGGAGACUAAUGGAGCUCUGGGACAGCGAAAUCCUUCCUUCUACAACUCAGGCUUGUGGUGAUGGAUGCAAUGGCAGGGAAGGAGCCACAUGUCUCAGUGCUCUCUGAAACACACAGGGUCUUUCAUAUGGUUUCCUAAUACCAGAGAAAGAUGAGACCCGAGUCUCUAGUUCUUGAGCAUCCUGAAGAAGCACCACAGCUCCUGGCUCAGCAAGCCCUGAGUACAUGCAUGGUCUCUAUCCACUGGCCCUGCAGACCCUCCGGCUAUGCCCUGGCUGCACAGUGUUUGUUUCCUGACCCCAUUACCUAUUCCCGUUUGCAUUUCAGCUGCUUAGGCUUGAUUCUUUUAAGCCCCCUCUAUCUGAUUAUCAGCAGCCCAGCCAGGCAGAUAGGAAGCUUCCUGCGGGAUCCCCGGCAGCGCUGCAGGAGGAUGUUUUGCCUCAUUUAUGCUCCUGGAGGUGACUGAUCGACAAAGGGGCAGCGGAGAAGUUAUGGGGGCAGUUCAAGGCUCCCCUGUGGUGCAGGCUCGUAAGUCUGGGACACUUUGCUGCGUGAUGCUUUUCCUUGCUCCCAAGGGCACGCAGGGAGAUGCAAACUUUGUUCCCAGGAGGCGUGGGUGACAGGCACCACAUGCAAACCUGCAUCCGCACCGCAGGAUGCUUCUGGGAGCAGAGAGGAGCGCGGUUGCUGCGGCUGACCAGCGCAGGGGCACGGUGGCAUGGCAGGGUAGAGCAGAUGGGUACCGAAACCCUGUGCAACCCUCCCAGGGCUGCCCUGCUCUUGCUUUGCGGUUUCCUAUUGUUGUCCUAACGCCGUCCUCCUCCUCCUCCCCCGCCCAGCUGGAUGAAGAAGCCUCCAGCUGGCCUAGGAGGCUUAUCAGCUCUGUCUGGCUGGGUGUUAACAGUCGAUUUGCAUAAGUACCUGUCCCCAUCAUAUGCUGCCUGCCUUUGUGACUCAUGUGCUUGUUUGUUUCUCCUUCAGCAGCCACGCUUGUGCUGGGCUGCUCCCAGAGGUACCAGGGCAGAUGCCACCACCCCGGGCACUGCGGGAUGGAUGCUGAGCAUCCUUCCUGGCUCACCCACUGCUCCUGCCCUGCGGGACCAGCUUGGGAAUGACCCGUGGAACUCGCUGUUUUCUCCUGGUUGUCAAGGUCCUUCCGAGUCAUCAUCGCCCAUCCCACAUCCCUCUCUGCUCGAAGCAUCCAGGAUAAGUUUGCUGCUUGGGAACAUCACUCAGGAGAUGGAGUGUCUGUGGCAACCCCCCUAUGGUUAAAAUCAACCCUGUUUGCAAAAAUAAGCACUGGUGAAUGAAGAUGAAAGGAAAACAUUGCUGUUUUCUUCCCUGGAGAUUGUAUUUCUCACUUGUUGCAUAACUGCUUAUUUUAGCAUCAAUCAGCUGAGUCUUUGUUGUGUAGACAACUCUGUCCUUUCAGAGGAUUUGUGCAGUAUUAUUUCCUUUAAAAUGCCUGGGUUUUGGUUGUUUUUAUUAUUAGAUUUAUUUCUUCUCUGGGCAAAUGCCAGCUGACAACGCCUGUAAGUGUUACAUAAAUGUCAUGCUAUGUAAGCUGAGUAUCAUGCAGAUCAUACACACGACCUUUCUGCAGAGCUAUCCUUCAGGUGUUACCUGUGUGUUUUGUUUGUCUGUGUUACAUGCAUGCACCUAUAUAUGAGUUUUGUUUAAGUGUGUAUAUAUGGUAGGCAAAAAUCUGCUAAGCUACUGACCAGGAAAGUACUCAAAAUGCAGAAAUGUCCGAACUCUUGUUGGCACAACUUUCAUCUGCACCCUAUUGUUGAAGCAGGAGAUGAUUGUAAUUGCAUGUUGACACGCUGUUUUUCUUCUGCAUCUCUAUAUGGUGUGCAGGGAGCGAGAUGCAGCGAGGGGCUCCGCAAUGCUGGCUUGUUCCUAUUGUUCAGCACACGAUGCUAGGCCUGAGCUCAGCACAUUAUCCACAUGUCUGACCACUUCUGGAUUCCGCAGCAGUAGGAAACACAGCUCCACUCUUUCUGUGUGCACUUUCCAAAGCCAGAACAAGGUGCUCCUCUUCUGCAUAGCAAAAAUGCUUAGAGGUUGCACCGAGGGAUGCUGUGACCUGCAGCACACAACCCAUCUGCACCAAGGAACUGGGUUUUGAUAUUCCAUGACCUCCUUUAGAGGGGUUGUCCAGAAGUCCUGGAGGAAUGGCCAGAAGGGCUGUAGGGUUAUGGUGCACUGCACAGGACCAUUGCCAGGUUCCUCCAGAGACAGGAUUAUUAAUUUCCUCAUGGCUUUUCCUACAGUUCUUUCCACUACCCUGCGUCAGUGCUUCAGCACCUUCAUUAAUCCUUCCCCAAACACCCGUUAUGAAGAUGGGUCAGGGUGACACAUGGAUGGAUUAAGGUCAGUUUUGACUAAUUCGGGGUAGUCCAUCUGAGGAGCAGAAUGUCUGCGUUUUCAGAGCAUUUAACAUGAUACAGCACUUCGUGCAUGCAAGCGCAGCACCCGCUGCUUCCAGCUGUACUAAGAUGGAUGUCAGCAAUUCAGGCAAAAGGUUUCAGGCUACACUGUGGGCAACACAACCCUCAGCAGCCAGAAGUUUGGUUUAAUGAGUUCGUUUGCGUUACGAAGCCUGUGGCAAGAGCAAGGAGAGAAUCCUGCUCUUUGGAAGAGUUUUAUCCUGUCCUCAGCCUGUAUGUUAAAGCCCUUUUAUCGUGCUGUGGGCAGCUUUUGGUUCUGAAGAUGGAGAUCUGGCCAAACUUUGUUUCCUAUUUGACUUACAGAGCAGGUCCAUGGGCUGCAGGUGUCAUAUGGAAAACAGAUUGUGAGUACAUAAUUAAGAACUGCAUUAGAAUAUGCACGUGCAAGAAAGCUCCAUAAAUUGGUAUGGAAUGCCUCACUUUGGAUGUUUGUGACAUUGUGACCAAGUAACACAGUGACCUUCAAAAUAUCCCUUAAGGCAGCCCGUGCACUUAGCUGAAGUGGGAUCCAUAGGUGAACUCCUGGCAGGGAGUGCACUGGGUGCCAGAGCAGCGGGGCUAACAGCUGCCAAGGCACUUAGGGCCAAUGGGGACUGACAGAAAGGGGUUGUGUUCAUGUGUCCCAUUGCUGCUGCACUACAAGGGAAGGCUUUUCUUACCUGGGGGCUGAAGUUUCAAGUGAGCUGCUGAGCAGCGCCUUGAGAGACCUCAGCAUCCAGAACCAGGCAUGAUUUUUGCUGUGCGCUGUAAGCUGCUGUUCUUUAAACCCAGUAAUAAGGCUAACUUGGGUGGGUUUAUCUAAAACACCAUAAAGGCCGUCUCACACCAAGUUGUAAGACCCUAUUUCUAGAGUUACAGUCCAAAACACCACAGCAAGCCUGAGGAUGACCGACACAAUACUCCUUUGCUUUCCGCCUUGGAAGAGCCAAAGGACUUGGAGCAUUCAGACCACAGCCUGCCGAAGCAGAAAGUUGCAGCCUAAAUUCCUUCAAGUUAGGUAAAUUAUAAGGGCUGUGCAGUGGGGAGCAUCCGCACGCCUCAUCUGUGGUGGUUCUGUGGUCCCAAUGGUUUUGAACGACCGGGAAAGCUGGCUAGCUGAAUGGAUUUACGAGACGAUGGCAGCCUGUGACUGGAAGAACAUCUUUAACCUGGAUUUAAACCUUCUGCAGCAACUGAAGCAGCGCAAGACAGCUCCUGCAACGUGUUUGACUGGAGGGCCUCUGGGACUGAAAGGAUGUGCACGGUACAGAGCAUGCCAUGCAAUUAGCACUGUUUUAACUGAAGAAAGCGGUUCUAUCUCACAGCAGCGCUGCGCUGUUGGGAAUCCUGGGGAACGAGCUCCCACAGGGCAGAGCCUGAAACUCCCCUUCGGGGGGCCUGGG